ACACGACUCUCGGCAACGGAUAUCUAGGCUCUCGCAUCGAUGAAGAAGGUAGCAAAAUGCGAUACUUGGUGUGAAUUGCAGAAUCCCGUGAAUCAUCGAGUUUUUGAACGCAAGUUGCGCCCGAAGCCAUCCGGCCGAGGGCACGUCUGCCUGGGCGUCACGCAUCUCGUCGCCACCCCCUCCUCCCCGUCCUC
rnacentral:rRNA from 1 species